rnacentral:lncRNA from 1 species
CUCAAAUAGGUUACAUCAAAUCCUAGAUUUAAUAACUUAGUUCAUGAUUGAAAAGAAGAACAUGAUAAAACACAAAUUAAAUUUCAUGAAGAAGAGAAAGAUAAGAAAAAACUCAGGUUGUUGCUCUAUUUCUCAAUCUUGUGGCUUGAUUCUCAGUUUUUCUUCUUCUUCUUCUCCAAAAUCGGUUCGAUCUUCUCUCUAUUAGUGUAUAUCCUUGCCUCCUUUCUUCAGCCGUCCAACCCCUUUCUCUUGUUCUUCAGUUGAGUAUUUAUAUUUUCUAAGGGUCCUCAAGGGUUAGGGUGUGAUUUUUGGGCCGAAAAAAUACUUAGAAACCCGGAUUUUAAUGUUUUGGAAACGGGCGCCAUGGUGCCUGGGUUUGGCGCCGUGGCGCCCAAGUCUCUGCCCCGUUUUUUUCUUUCAUGGGCGCCGUGGCGCCCAGGUUUCUGCUUCUUUUUUCCUUCCUUGGGCGCCAUGGCGCCCAAUGUUCUGCUGGAAUUGCCUCUCAUGGCGCCCCUUUUUCGGCGCCGUGGCGCCAAUGCCACUGCUUUAAUCCUAUUCUCUUUGUUUUUCCAAGCCUAUUUCCCACUCCAAUCUUAUUCAAUACUAGCUUAUUCAUGCUCCUUUUCAUUGAUCAUCAUUUUUGCUCAUCACCGGCUCCCAAUAGUGAUAUUUUCUUGAGAAUUGUCCAAACUGCAAAACAACACUAACACACACAUCAAAACGUUCAAAAAUGCUCAAGAACACAUCAAAAAACUCGAUUUAGAAGCUUAAGCUUAAUGAGUAAAUUACACUCAUCAAGUGAUUAUGAAACCCAGAAACUUUCCUGAAGCUACGCCGAAUACACACUUCUCUGGGUUGAGCUUCAUCUUAUAUUGUCGUAGGGUAACAAACACCUCCUCAAGGUCGAAUAUGUGUUGCUCUACCUUCUUACUCUUUGCAACCAUGUCGUUCACAUAGGCCUUGAUGUUCUUUUCUAUUAAGUCAGCGAAGACUUUGUUGAUGAGCCUUUGAUAUGUCGUCCCAGUAUUUUUCAACCCAAAUGGCAUCACCCUAUAACAAUAUAUGGCUGAAUCGGCCAUGAAUGACGUCUUCUCUUGGUCUUCUUCGGCCAUGAGGAUUUGAUGAUACCCUGAGAAUGUAUCUAAGAAGCUGUACAGCUUAUGUUCAGAUGUGCUAUCCACAAGAUUGUCAAUCCUGGGCAGCAGGUAGCUAUCUUUCGAGCACGCCUUAUUAAGAUUUGUGAAGUCAAUGCAGACCCUCCAUUUACCACUGGCCUUUUUCACAAGAACUAAAUUAGCAAGCCAAUCGGGGUAUUGGACUUCCUUUAUGAACCCCGCUCUCACCAAUUUUCUGACUUCUUCCUAAAUGACCACACGUCUUUCCAGCGCAAACUGCCUUUUCCUUUGUUUAACAGGUUUGGCCCCGAGGCUAAUAUUGAGUUUAUGGACAGCUACUUCUGGGUCUAUCCCCGGCAUAUGCUCCACCUUCCAUGCAAAAACAUCAAUGUUGUAGGUCAAACAAUCGAUGACUUCUUCCCGGAGUUUAGCCCGGAGAUCCCGACCAAUAGUGAUGGCUUUCCCAUGCUCGAGCACGACCACUUCCAAUUCCUCAACGAGGGCCAAUCUACCCCUUGGCUCAAGCUCGAGUUCUGAAAGUUGCAUGACAUCUGUUCUCAUUCCUCGGAUGCUAGUAACAUAGCAUUGCCUAGCAGCCAUUUGGUUUCCUCUAACUACUCCGAUGCCAUGAAUUGUGGGGAACUUCAUGGCAAGGUGGAAAAUUGAUACAAUAGCUUGAAUCUUGUUUAGUAGGGGUCUUCCCAGAAUGAUGUUGUAAGCCAUUGGGGUAUUAACCACUUGGAAUGGCGUGAUCUCCGUCACUUAUGUAUUAACAGAUCCUAAUGUAAGCGGGAGCUUGACGAUGCCCUUGGGGAUAAUGACUCCACCACCAAAUCCCUGUAGAGGAGUUUUUACUACUUUGAGCUGUUUGGGAGAGAUCCCCAUUUUUGGCAAAAGCCUCCUGCAAGAGUAUAUUUGAUGCACUCCCAUUAUCAACUAGGAUCCUCUUUACUUCGAAGUUAGCCACAACCGCAGAAACAACCAAGGCAUCGUCAUGAGGAUAUGAUAUUCCUUCCAAAUCUCUUGCUCCAAAAGUGAUGUCUUUGACUUCAUCAAGGGAUUCCCUUGGGGUAUGAGCAUGUCGGGGGGCAUACUGCUUUUACCCACUAUUUGUGUCUCCUCUAGAUGCUUUGCCCCCAAUGAUAAUAUUAAUUGUCCUGGCAGUGGGUUGAGCACUGCUUCCGGUUCCAGACUCUUUCCGAUUGUCAUGAUAAUUUCUUAAGAAUCCUCUUUUAAUGAGAGCUUUGAUCUCCCGCUGCAAAGCUUGACAAUCCUCCGUGGUAUGCCCAUGAUCCCGAUGAAAUUCACAAUACUUGCUCCUAUCUCUUGUGUCAGGGGCGACUUUAUCUUUUAAGGCCACUUUAAUUAUUUCAUAUCCUUAAUCGCCAUCAAGAUGUUUUAUCUUAGAGGUGUUCAACCGAGUUAGAGGUACUGAAGGCGCCUCAUUUCUGUGCUUUUCCUGAGGAUGCUCAUGCCAGGGAACGGGAUCAUAUUGCCUCUUGUUUUCGACCUUUUCAUGAGGGGGGACCAACUCUUCCUGGAUUCAACGUCUCCUCCAUAUUGAUGUACUUUUCAACUCGGCCACUGUCUGUGGUGGGUCUUGUCAUAAAACCUCGUAGGGUUUCAUUCGGCCCCUGGUGUAGUUACAUGAGGGAGGUUGCGGUCUUCCUGAUUCGCUUGCUACUCAUAAAGAAGGUUGAGAACUUAUCAGCCAAAUCUGAGAAUGAGGCUAUGGAGUUGGGCUCCAAUGUCGAGAACCAAUCCCUAGCAGCAUUAGUCAGCAUUUGUGGAAAGGCUUUGCACAUAACUUGAUUCGGCGCAACUUACAAGUUCAUGACAUCAGUAUAUACAUUAAGAUGGUUGAUGGGGUCGUACGUCCCAUCAUACUCUUUAAUGUGGGGAUAUUUAAAUCUGUCAGGCAAGGGAUAUGACAAUAUCUCUGGUGUGAAUGGAGUGUUAGGGGUGAAACCCGUUGGCCCCCGAGUAUUCCGUUGCAGGCUAGCUGUAAUUUCUUCUUGAAUGAUCCAGGCAAUUUCACCGGAAUCCAUGACGACUGAUCUUGAGCCCGAGGCCAUAUUGUGAAUACCUGAGGUUCCUACUCCGUCAGUUGCGGGGUUUGGUGUUCGUGCUCGAGCAUCAGCCAUAAAACCACCAUACUUUGCCUGUACUGGCGACAGAUGUGAAUUUUUUUCACUUAAUAUUUGCGUGAGCACGGCCACCUGCUGACGAAGCUCUUCAAAGGCUUCGGUUGUGAUGACCACUGGCAGAGGUGCGGGGACUCCUAACGAUUCUUCAUGAGGAGCCGGUUGAUCUUCGGCAGGUUGAGGGAUGGGAGCGGAUGAACUUGCGGGGAGAAGAACUAAUCAUGUGUUAACCAUGGCUUUUGGUAGCGUUUCCCACAGACGACGCCAAUGAUGCUCUACCAAAAAUCGUACUUGUUGAUUUUUCAAGCUUGAUGAUUUUGAUUGAGCACGAUCGUAGUCUUCCAGUACCUGAAACAAAGGAAACGAGGUAUGUUUUCGUCGUCCCUCCGAUACUUAAGUCAGAAAGAGAAUUAUAUGCGUGAG